rnacentral:misc_RNA from 1 species
GGAAAUAAAAGUCGUAACAAGGUUUCCGUAGGUGAACCUGCGGAAGGAUCAUUCAUAAUAAAGUGUUUUAUGGCACUUUUUAAAAAUCCAUAUCCACCUUGUGUGCAAUGUUAGAUCUCGUCAAUCUUGGCGAGAUUUUUAUACAUCAACUCAUUCUUUAACUAAUUUGUCUGAAAAAUAUUAUGAAUACUUAAUUCAAAAUACAACUUUCAACAACGGAUCUCUUGGCUCUC